rnacentral:rRNA from 1 species
AUUGAACGCUGGCGGCAUGCUUUACACAUGCAAGUCGAACGGCAGCACGGGAGCUUGCUCCUGGUGGCGAGUGGCGAACGGGUGAGUAAUGCAUCGGAACGUACCCAGUAGUGGGGGAUAGCCCGGCGAAAGCCGGAUUAAUACCGCAUAUUUCCUGAGGGAGAAAGCGGGGGACCUUCGGGCCUCGCGCUACUGGAGCGGCUGAUGUCGGAUUAGCUAGUUGGUGAGGUAAAGGCUCACCAAGGCGACGAUCCGUAGCUGGUCUGAGAGGAUGAUCAGCCACACUGGGACUGAGACACGGCCCAGACUCCUACGGGAGGCAGCAGUGGGGAAUUUUGGACAAUGGGGGCAACCCUGAUCCAGCCAUGCCGCGUGAGUGAAGAAGGCC